UGAUAAGAUUAGAUAUUAAAUGUAACAUGACUUUCUAGGAAUACGUCCAUUAGGUCUAUUUUUUAAAAAAUCACACAUGAAUCAAAGUUGUGACUUCUGUUUUAAUAUAUAAGAUUUCUAGGAAUACGUCCAUUAGGUCUAUUUUUUAAAAAAAAUCACACAUGAAUCAAGGUUGUGACUUCUGUUUUAAUAUAUAAGAUGAGCUAAUACUUUAUCAAGCUCUAUAAAAUUUAUGGGCUAAUCAUGUUCGGCCCUUUUUAGCCAUGUUUCAAAAAUCAUGUUUAGGAUUAAAGAUUAUGAUAAGACUAACCAUGUUAGUUUAAGCUCAUUUUAACAUCUCUGAUCAUGUAUAUGAUACAUAUUCUAUUUGCAAUUUAAAUGAACUCAGAUUGGACAAAGGAUUAUGAUACCGUGGGGUGACUCAAAAGUUUAGGUACCCCUAAAAGCCAUCAAUGCAAUAACUAAUGCUUCUUAGAUUACUUAGUACUUGAUUCUUAAAAGUUUUCAUUGUGGGAUUCAUUGUACAAGUUCACAUAAGGUUUACAAGCAACGUACUGAAACAUCUCCUUUAUUGCUCCCAUCUCUUAAAGUCUAAUUUUCCAAGAACCUCACUAAAAACUAUUUUCUUCUUGAAUUAUUUUUAAUUCGAAAAUUGACGAAAUGUCGACAUUAGUACCGUUAAACCUAGUAUUCAUAUAUGAGAAAGUUCAGUUUUUAUUUCUUACCUCUUUCUUCUCUUUCUCUACGGCGCUUCUUCUAUCCUUCUUUCGCUUUUAACUCUUUUUAUGAUAACAACAGAGAAUACCAACCAUGGCGAUUCAAUUUUCUAUCUCUUCUCCUUUCUCUUUUUUUUUUUUUCUGAGAUCCAUCGCAAGUGAUGUAAACCGUCUUCAACGAUUCUGCCGGUGAUGGUAACAGUACCAGCAACCAUUGAAGGUGAUAGAAACGACAUCAAUGGAACAAAUCGAAGAUGCCAUUAGAUUAUACUCACGUUUCCCAACUGAAGCUUUGUAGAAAAAAAAUAUUCUCCGAUCUUGCUAUAUGUUUUGGCAUUAGAAGCAGAAGCAGAUGAGGCGUUACAAGAAAAAAAAGAACAGCAAAUGAGCUCUCAAAGAGUCAUAUAAUUCUUCUAACAUGGAGCUGCAAAACCACCUAUGAAUGGAGUUCUUCUAACAUGGAGCUGCAAACCCACCUUUCCGUGGAGUUGCUAAUUCCCAAAGUCAGAUUUCUUCAGUCAAUGAACAAAUCGAAGAUGCCAUUAGAUUAUACUCACGUUUCCCAACUGAAGCUUUGUAGAAAAAAAAUAUUCUCCGAUCUUGCUAUAUGUUUUGGCAUUAGAAGCAGAAGCAGAUGAGGCGUUACAAGAAAAAAAAGAACAGCAAAUGAGCUCUCAAAGAGUCAUAUAAUUCUUCUAACAUGGAGCUGCAAAACCACCUAUGAAUGGAGUUCUUCUAACAUGGAGCUGCAAACCCACCUUUCAGUGGAGUUGCUAAUUCCCAAAGUCAGAUUUCUUCAGUCAAUGAACAAAUCGAAGAUGCCAUUAGAUUAUACUCACGUUUCCCAACUGAAGCUUUGUAGAAAAAAAAUAUUCUCCGAUCUUGCUAUAUGUUUUGGCAUUAGAAGCAGAAGCAGAUGAGACGUUACAAGAAAAAAAAGAACAGCAAAUGAGCUCUCAAAGAGUCAUAUAAUUCUUCUAACAUGGAGCUGCAAAACCACCUAUGAAUGGAGUUCUUCUAACAUGGAGCUGCAAACCCACCUUUCAGUGGAGUUGCUAAUUCCCAAAGUCAGAUUUCUUCAGUCAAUGUAAGUGUCAAUUAAUAAUAUGUGUUUGUGAUAAGUGUCAAUUAAAAAAAAAAAAAAAAUAUAUAUAUAUAUAUAUGUGUGUUUGUGAUUGUAUAAUUGUCAAUAAAUCUUGAAAAUUUUACGCAAGGUGUCAAUUAAGAAUAUAUUUCUUUCCAAAUGCCAUUAUGAUUAGAGUAUUUAACAAAUGUUUGAUGUUUUAGUCAUAUCUAAUGUAUGAUGUAUUAUUUUGAUUUAAAAACUAUAGCAGCAUGCUUACAUAGUAAGUAUCACAUAUUUUCAAACUUACGUGUAAAGUAAUUUUGAUUACUCAAAUUAUUUUACAUUCUUAACUUUUGAUUUACUUUCAUAGAAUGAUGUUUAUGUCUUACAUGCUGUUUUUUUCUUUACUGUUUUUAGUGUUUUGAUUGGAUUUGUAAAACUGUUUUUAAACUUUGAUUUGUAAAAUUGUUUGUAGAUUAAAAUGUUGAAAUAACUACUGGACUUUAGAUGCUAAAGACAAAUUGCUCAUAUUCAUAUACAUGUUAAGAAUUAGCGGAAAAAAAAGACUGGAAGGGCAAGACAGAAAGAAGUAAUCAAGAAAGUUUCAAACCAAUAAUUGUAUUGAAGUCUUUAAAAAGAAUAUUUGUAUUGAACAAUGUAAUUUAUAUCAAUAUAUAAGAAAUUUAAACAGAUCUAACUUAAUUUUCAAGUCUAUGGUUAAUUAACGAUAAUUGUGUUAAUGCUUUUAUGUUUACUUUUACUUUGUUUUUGCUAAGUUUUACACAUGGGUUUACCACAAAUUUUUUACACACGAAAACUAUGUGUAUAUAUGUAACUAAAAUUUAUUUGUAAGAAAGAAUAAUUUUCGUGCAUAGCACGGGCAUCACUAGUAUAAUAUAGUAUCUGAAUCGCCAUGGUUGAUAUGUUUUGUUCUUAUCACAAAACAACGAAGAGUGAAAGGUAGAAGAAGAAGAGAAGAAGCGCCGCAGAGAAAUAAAAGAAAGAGGUAAGAAAUAAAAACAGAUCGAACUUUCUCAGAUCUGUAUAUUAGGUUUAAGGACAUAAAUGUCAUUUCGUCAAUUUUUGAAUUAAAAAUAAAUCAAAACAAUAUUAUAAUUUGAGUAUUCAUGUUUCAUCAAAGCCAUGAGUAUCCUAUGCCCUCAUGGCUUUUAUGAAAUAUGAAUAUCCGAUUUUGCCUUUUUGUAUUUUUGAAAUUAUUAUUUUUUAAAAAAAAAAUUGAAAAUUUGAAUUUUCAAAAUUUUCAAAUUUUCAAAAAAAAAAUUAUUAUAUUGAACUGAUAUAGUUUUAUUUAGUUAUACAGAGUUGUACUGAGUUUUACUUAGUUGUAUUGAGUUAUACUGAGUUGUACUGCUGAAUUAAUUAUACUGAAUAUUACUAGUUAUAUUGGUUAUACUAUGUAAUACUGAAUACCAUUGAAUUAGUUAUAACGAGUUCGACUGAAUUAUACUAGUUACAUUGGAGUACUAUGUGUUAGUUAUACUGAGUUCUACUGAGUUAUGGUUAUACUGCGUAACACUAAGUAAAACUGAGUUAGUUAUACCGAGUACGGCUGAGUUAGUAAUACUGAGUUAUACAUAAUCCAAAUUUGAAGAUGAAAUAAACAAAAACACGAAAAAAUUCUGGAAAGGAAAAACAAGAAGAACCCUAAAUCUUGAAAAAAAAUCCCAGAAUCUUAUUUAUCAACCUUAAAUCAGAUAUUAUCAAGAACAAAAUAUCCUAAAUCAAAGGAAAACUCAGAUAUGGAGCGCGAGAAGAAGAAGAAAUCGCCAUUGAACCCAUUUCCAUCAUCUUCAACGGUUGAUGGUACUGUUUCUAUCACUGGUGGAAUUGUUGAGGACGGUUUACAUCACGGACCGAAGUUUUCAUCACUUGCGACGGAUCUCGAAGAACAAAGAGAAGAAGAGAAAGGAGAAGAGAUAGAAAAUUAAAUCGCCAUGGUUGAUAUGUUUUGUUCUUAUCACAAAACAACGAAGAGUGAAAGGUAGAAGAAGAAGAGAAGAAGCGCCGCAGAGAAAUAAAAGAAAGAGGUAAGAAAUAAAAACAGAACUUUCUCGGAUCUGUAUAUUAGGUUUAAGGAAAUAAAUGUCAUUUCGUCAAUUUUUGAAUUAAAAAUAAAUCAAAACAAUAUUAUAAUUUGACUGGGUCCUUAAGAGAUUGGGUUAUGAGAUUUGGCAUAAUAGAAGAGAUGUUUCCAAUGUACUUUGUUUGAUUCUCUACUUUUUUUUUUCUUCGCCGCUUGGGCCUCAAGCAAGCCCAAAUAUCCACCAAAAAUCUCCCAAAACUCUUUCUUAUAAACAAAACCCUAAACUUUGUCUCACAGCGUUCCGGCAGUUCAAACCGACCCAAAUCCCUCACUCUUGCAUGUACCUUUAAUCACCUUGCUAGCUUUAACCGUAGGAUCUGAUCAAUAUUUUGCUGAAUGCUCAAAAAAGUGUUGGGAUAGAAUCAGCGAGUUGCCGGAUUCUUUGUUAACUCAUAUACUCUCAUACCAAAGACUCCGUUGAGACCAGCGCUUUAUCCCAGAGAUGGGAACUUCUAUGACUUAAACACCAUGGACUUCCUUCCCUAUGGAGAAGCCUUGUUGACUUUUAUGGACAGAUAUCUGGAGUUUAACUGCGGAUUGUGCCUACAAACCUUCAAGAUGAAGUAUUGCCGUCAUAAAGAAUUAGAGAAUGAAUCUAGUGUCAGGCCGGUGAAGUGGGUAGCCGAAGUGUUCCAUCGCCGAGUGCAACAUCUAGAUCUUGAAAACGAACUGUUUCCAACUACUUUAGAGUUUAGAUAUCAUGCCUGGUUGUAUUUAUCUAAGCAAGACAUUGGUGUCUUUGAAGCUCGUAAGAGUAGGGCUUAAAAACCUCAAUUAUGCUGUUUCUCUACCUUGUCUCAAGAUCAUGCAUCUAGAAGGCAAUUAUAUCAUGUCUCGUGAUACUUUUUAUUGCAUUGAUUACGUGAGAGGUGAUGGUCGUUUGGUCAUGGAGAAUCUGAUCUCUGGCUCUCCUGUUCUAGAAAAUGUUACUUUGGAAGAUUCUGUAGAUAUAUGGCUAGAGGAGGUCAUCUUCUUGGACCAAUGUGCCUCAGUGUUUAUCAUCGACUUUGGAGUAUGUUAUGAUUGACGUAGAUAUUAUGAUGAGUGAAGAUGGGAUUAAACUAGCGAAUUACUUUCUUGAGAAUUCAGCAGUCCUCAAGAAACUAACUCUGAGUUACAAAUAUUUUUGUAAGGCCAAACGAGAGCCAGAGAGGUACAAGAAGCUUCUUACGUCCACAAAGCUCUCUCCCAGAUGUAAGAUUCUCGUCCAUUGACAUGCAGCGUCAGAUGAGCUAUAUCAUGAACAUGAUUUAUUAAACAUUCGUGUGGAAAUCAUUUAUGCUCUUGAAACUUGCAGCUAUAAUUAAUGAGCAUUUUAUAGACACGGUUCAUCAACUAGGUUUGAUAUUUCAUGCUUCUGUUUGAAUUUCUUGAACUAUGUGGACGAUCUUUUGCGUUGCCUAAUUCAGGUCUCCAAGCUUAUUGAUGUAAUGACGUGUGAGUAUAUGGUUAUAUAUAUCAACAUUAUUCUUAAUA